rnacentral:rRNA from 1 species
UACGUAGGCAGCAAGCGUUGUUCGGAGUUACUGGGCGUAAAGGGUGCGUAGGCGGUUGUUUAAGUUUGGUGUGAAAUCUCCCGGCUCAACUGGGAGGGUGCGCCGAAUACUGAAUGACUAGAGUGCGGGAGAGGAGAGUGGAAUUCCUGGUGUAGCGGUGAAAUGCGUAGAUAUCAGGAGGAACACCGGUGGUGUAGACGGCUCUCUGGAUCGUAACUGACGCUGAGGCACGAAAGCGUGGGUAGCAAACAGG